GGGUCUGUAGCUCAGAGGAUUAGAGUACGUGGCUAUGAACUACGGUGUUGGGGUUCGAAUCCCUCCUCGCCCA
rnacentral:tRNA from 1 species